UGCUAGAGGUCUUAAUGCCUUCCUCCACCUCAGAGUGUUUCAUCAGAGUCUUCUUUUUUAGAAAAUAUAUAUAUUUUUAAUAGAGACGAGGUCUCGCUAUGUUGAGCAGGCUGGUGGAAAUCCUGGCCUCAAGUGAUCCAUCCGCUUUGGCCUUCCAAAGUGCUGGGAUAAUAGGCAUGAGCCACUGCGGCCAACCAUAGUAUUCUUUCAACCACAGACAGUAGACUUCCUAUGAGGAAUUCCAGGAAGUUGAUGUUUUUCAUCCUCUCCACCUUUAUCAGAAUGGAUUUUAAGUCCCUUACAGACUGGCAUGCUGGCUAACAGCUGUUGACCUGCUUCUUACUCCAGCUCUGGUUCCAACAAUAACACUGGCUCCUCGAACCUCCAACCCAGGGAACGGUUUCUGCCAAGACAAUGUGCCUUAGGAGCUGAGACUACCAGUGGACCAGAAUUCCAGCAGUUCUCCAGGUAUGAGCUCCCAGCAGAAGGGACAGUGUUGACUAGAGAAUCCAUCAGAAAAGUUUGUUUUCUGGAAGGACAGGACUGGCUGAUGCUGAGAAGGGAGGGGAGUAGGAGAGGCAGGAACUCCCAGCACAGACCCCAGCCACUCCACCUGUCACCCCAAAGAGCUGGUCAUGCCCCGGAUCACGUUCCAUCUCCCAGUGGGGAAAGGCAGCCAGCCACCCUCAGAGGAAAGCGUCCAUGUGGCCACCGAUGGCAGGGAGAGCAGUGUGGGGAGAAAUCUCUAUUUGGAAGAGGAGACAUAGUUGGGUGGGUGGUUCCCUGGCCUUAUCAGGCCUCUGCAGUCCAGCAUGGCACUGGGAGAGAUGGGCCGUCCUAUCUCUGCCCUGCUGGGCUUGGCUCAGUCCCCACUUAGACGGAGGGCUUUGCCCUGUCACCCCUGCACUCCAUGCCACCCUGCUUCGUUGACCCCACUGGCCUCCAGGCUGCAGCCAGCUGUAGUGGGAAGAGGAGUGGGCUGACUCUCAAAGUCAGGGGUAGAAACGAAUGUCCCUCCCCUCGGAUUUAGCUGGACUUAGUGACUUGCUUCUAAUGAUGAGAAUGUGGCUGAAGUGCAAGUGUGUGUCGCUGUGGUCUCUGCUUUGUUCUGCCUUGGACUGUCUGCUGCAGGGGCUGCCCUGUCACGCGGGCACUCAAGCUGCCUGCGGAGAGGCCCAUACGGGGAGCAUCUAAGGUCCCACCAACAGCUGGCACCAACUUGCCAACCAUCUGGGAAGAAGACCCUCCAGUCCCAGUCAAGCUUGCAAAUGGCUGUGGCUCUGGCUGAUGUCUUAACUGCAACCUCUUGAAAGACUCCAAGCCAGAACGUUCCUGAAUUUCUGAUCCCCCAAGACUGUGAGAUAUAUUAAAUGUAUAUUGCUGUUUUAAA